rnacentral:rRNA from 1 species
GACGAACGCUGGCGGCGUGCUUAACACAUGCAAGUCGAACGGAAAGGCCCUGCUUUUGUGGGGUGCUCGAGUGGCGAACGGGUGUGUAACACGUGAGUAACCUGCCCUUGUCUUUGGGAUAACUUCAGGAAACUGGGGCUAAUACCGGAUAGGAUCUCUUGCUGCAUGUUGGGGGUUGGAAAGUUUCGGCGGUUGGGGAUGGACUCGCGGCUUAUCAGCUUGUUGGUGGGGUAGUGGCUUACCAAGGCUUUGACGGAUAGCCGGCCUGAGAGGGUGACCGGCGACAAGGCGACUGAGAUACGGAGCAGAAUGCAACGGGCGGCAGCAGGCGAGAGUAUGACAGAGCAAGCGGAAGUCUGUUACAACAGCGCUGCGAGCGGGAUGACGGCUUACGAGUUGUAAACCAAUGUGGAAUGAGACGAGGAGUGAGUGACGGUAAUGGAUAAAAAAGCACCGGCUAACUACGUG